rnacentral:rRNA from 1 species
AGAGUUUGAUCAUGGCUCAGGAUGAACGCUGGCGGCGUGCCUAAUACAUGCAAGUCGAGCGGUAAGGUUCUCACUCUGUACUCAAUCAACUGAGUAUGGUGUGAGAAUACACGAGCGGCGGACGGCUGAGUAACGCGUAGGAACGUACCCCAAAGUGAGGGAUAACUGCUCGAAAGAGUAGCUAAUACCGCAUGUGGUCUUCGGAUUAAAGCUUCGGCGCUUUGGGAACGGCCUGCGUAUGAUUAGCUUGUUGGUGAGGUAAAAGCUCACCAAGGCGACGAUCAUUAGCUGGUCUGAGAGGAUGAUCAGCCAGACUGGGACUGAGACACGGCCCAGACUCCUACGGGAGGCAGCAGUAGGGAAUCUUCCACGAUGGGCGAAAGCCUGAUGGAGCAACGCCGCGUGCAGGAUGAAUGCCUUCGGGUUGUAAACUGCUUUUAUAUGUGAAGAUUUUGACGGUAACAUAUGAAUAAGGAUCGGCUAAUUCCGUGCCAGCAGCCGCGGUCAUACGGAAGAUCCAAGCGUUAUCCGGAAUUACUGGGCGUAAAGAGUUGCGUAGGUGGCAUAGCAAGUUGGUAGUGAAAUUGUGUGGCUCAACCAUACACCCAUUACUAAAACUGCUAAGCUAGAGUAUAUGAGAGGUAGCUGGAAUUCCUAGUGUAGGAGUGAAAUCCGUAGAUAUUAGGAGGAACACCGAUGGCGUAGGCAGGCUACUGGCAUAUUACUGACACUAAGGCACGAAAGCGUGGGGAGCGAACGGGAUUAGAUACCCCGGUAGUCCACGCCGUAAACGAUGGAUGCUAGCUGUUACCAGUAUCGACCCUGGUAGUAGCGAAGCUAACGCGUUAAGCAUCCCGCCUGUGGAGUACGAGCGCAAGCUUAAAACUUAAAUGAAUUGACGG